CUGUCGUCGAGGGGGAGGGAUCAACAUUGACAGUCAUCUGUUUUUCAGGAAAUUUCAGCUUGCCUUUAUGAAUUUAGCUUUGAAUAACAUCACGGAACACAACGUAGUUGUUUGUGGUAUGCUUAUUCGAGUUAUGGUACUUGCAAUACAUUUUUCCUUUCAACUCUUCGACCUUAGGAAUGUUGUGUCCUGGCCAAAGUUUGAUGAUCUUUGCCAGUAACAACUGGUCGAAAAUUGCAUCGACCUUGGUGAUAUCAAAAAGUGUAAACUUUUGAUGUUUUAACUGCCUCUUAGAGGCUAAGCGGGUUUUGGCAUCCUUGGAAUUCAUUUGAGCUAAUGCCUUACAAACGUACGGCUUAUCUGUCACUAUCUCAGCCGCGUCCACAUUAACAUAUUGGGAAUCUUCGCCUUCGGCCAAUGCGUAGCUAACUCUAGAAUUUUUGUAAAUUGUUCCCCAGGAUGGUGACUUUGAGAUCUUUUCCUCUCGAAGUAGAUAAUCAUAU
rnacentral:lncRNA from 1 species